GAGUUUGAUCCUGGCUCAGAUUGAACGCUGGCGGCAGGCCUAACACAUGCAAGUCGAACGGUAACAUUUCUAGCUUGCUAGAAGAUGACGAGUGGCGGACGGGUGAGUAAUGCUUGGGAACUUGCCUUUGCGAGGGGGAUAACAGUUGGAAACGACUGCUAAUACCGCAUAAUGUCUUCGGACCAAACGGGGCUUAGGCUCCGGCGCAAAGAGAGGCCCAAGUGAGAUUAGCUAGUUGGUAAGGUAACGGCUUACCAAGGCGACGAUCUCUAGCUGUUCUGAGAGGAAGAUCAGCCACACUGGGACUGAGACACGGCCCAGACUCCUACGGGAGGCAGCAGUGGGGAAUAUUGCACAAUGGGGGAAACCCUGAUGCAGCCAUGCCGCGUGUGUGAAGAAGGCCUUCGGGUUGUAAAGCACUUUCAGUUGUGAGGAAAAGUUAGUAGUUAAUACCUGCUAGCCG
rnacentral:rRNA from 1 species